AAAUUUCACAGCGGAGGAUCGUUGAAUCCACUCCGGCCAAGAAAAAUGCCUCCCAAAUCCGAAUCCUCCACUCUGAUCUCUUCCACCGCCGCAUCGGCAGAUUCUCCGAUCUCCUCCGUCGAUCCCAUCUUCCAUAUCCUCCGCAUUCUCCCCUUUUCCUUCCUCCGUCCUCCGCGCCUCCGUCUCAAGCUUCCGACCUUUACCCUCCCUUCUCCGAUGACCGUCUACGCUCUCGUCCUCCUCACUUAUUUCAUGGUCGUCUCCGGCUUCGUCUACGAUGUCAUCGUCGAGCCUCCCG
rnacentral:misc_RNA from 1 species